CACGGGUGAGUAACACGUAUCCAACCUGCCGUCUACUCUUGGCCAGCCUUCUGAAAGGAAGAUUAAUCCAGGAUGGCAUCAUGAGUUCACAUGUUCGCAUGAUUAAAGGUAUUUUCCGGUAGACGAUGGGGAUGCGUUCCAUUAGAUAGUAGGCGGGGUAACGGCCCACCUAGUCAACGAUGGAUAGGGGUUCUGAGAGGAAGGUCCCCCACAUUGGAACUGAGACACGGUCCAA
rnacentral:rRNA from 1 species